AUUGAACGCUGGCGGAAUGCUUUACACAUGCAAGUCGAACGGCAGCACGGACUUCGGUCUGGUGGCGAGUGGCGAACGGGUGAGUAAUAUAUCGGAACGUAUCCAAUAAUGGGGGAUAACUAAUCGAAAGGUUGGCUAAUACCGCAUACGUCCUACGGAAGAAAGCUAGGGACCUUCGGGCCUGGCGUUAAUGGAGCGGCCGAUAUCUGAUUAGCUAGUUGGUGAGGUAAAGGCUCACCAAGGCGACGAUCAGUAGCUGGUCUGAGAGGACGACCAGCCACACUGGAACUGAGACACGGUCCAGACUCCUACGGGAGGCAGCAGUGGGGAAUUUUGGACAAUGGGCGCAAGCCUGAUCCAGCCAUUCCGCGUGAGUGAAGAAGGCCUUCGGGUUGUAAAGCUCUUUCGCAAGGGAAGAAAACUUAGUUACUAAUAUUAACUGAGGUUGACGGUACCUUGAUAAGAAGCACCGGCUAACUACGUGCCAGCCGCCGCCGUAAGAC
rnacentral:rRNA from 1 species